UGUUUCGGCUAGGGGGCCAUCCCGGCUUACCAACCCGAUGCAAACUGCGAAUACCGGAGAAUGUUAUCACGGGAGACACACGGCGGGUGCUAACGUCCGUCGUGAAGAGGGAAACAACCCAGACCGCCAGCUAAGGUCCCAAAGUCAUGGUUAAGUGGGAAACGAUGUGGGAAGGCCCAGACAGCCAGGAUGUUGGCUUAGAAGCAGCCAUCAUUUAAAGAAAGCGUAAUAGCUCACUGGUCGAGUCGGCCUGCGCGGAAGAUGUAACGGGGCUAAACCAUGCACCGAAGCUGCGGCAGCGACGCUGAUGCGUUGUUGGGUAGGGGAGCGUUCUGUAAGCCUGCGAAGGUGGCCUGUGAGGGUUGCUGGAGGUAUCAGAAGUGCGAAUGCUGACAUAAGUAACGAUAAAGCGGGUGAAAAGCCCGCUCGCCGGAAGACCAAGGGUUCCUGUCCAACGUUAAUCGGG
rnacentral:rRNA from 1 species